AGGGGGCGUGGCCAUCUUGUUUGCUUUCAAAACCUACUUUCUCAAUCCCCGAUCUUGUUGUUUUCGACGUUCCUGCUACAGAUAUGACGGUUGUUCUGCGUUUCCUUGCAUGUUUGCCCUUGAUUCUGCAGAUUUCUGCGUCUGAUGUGGAGGUGGAACCAGGGGAGGAUGCUGUCCUGCCCUGUCAGGCCCCCAGCGGAGCAGCAGUCACCGUGGUGAAGUGGACCAAAGACGGUCAUCCAGCAGAUGAAUACCUGCUCCUCUACCGUAACAGCCGUUCCUAUGACAACCACCAGCCUGAAGCCUACAGGGGCCGCGUUGUUCUGAAGAACCCGGCGGUCGCCAGGGAUGGAGACUUCUCUGUGGUCCUGAAGAACGUCUCUAUGGAGGACACGGGGACGUACAGGUGUCUGGUUCUGAUGAGCACCAACACCAACGUGGCUGAACACCUGGUGGUCAUACGGCUGAGGACCGCGAUGCCUUCAGAACACCCUGAGGAACCGGACGUAGGUACCGCAGGAGCAGAUGACCCAGGAGAUGUCCAGAGUGUAGCUUCAGGAGAAGAAGCUGGUGUGAAGCUUCAUGUCGGGGUUGGACUGUCGGUGGCUUGUCUUGUUGCUGCUGUUGCUGUUGUUGGUUUCUUGGUGUUCAGGAGAAAGAAAAGUUCACAUCAGCAGCUGGCAGCAGAGCUAUAAACCAGGCGUGCAAAAAGGAACAAGAAGCAAAACUUAAAGUAUUUAAAGGUGAAAGUUUGGUUCUGGUGAGGCAAACAGAACCUAAAGGAACGUGUUAUUAUGGACUGGCCUGUUCUCCCUGGUAGUUGCUUUAUUAUAAGCUUUAUCUACUUCAGAGGAUGAAAACAGUGUUGUGUUGUUCUUAUUAAUCAGAGCAGACUAGCCCCCCCUCCUGUCCUCUGCAGGGUCCUGCUGUCUAACUGAACGCAGCAACGCUACAUUAUUAACACACCUUUUAGUACAGAUAGAAAUCUGCACUCUAGCAGAAGCUAAUGGGACAGAAGAUAGUUUGAUGUUUUGGAUUCAAUGUUUUUUUAGUUUGGGUCCAGUCAGCAUUGAUCUGAUCACUAGGUCCUGGUUGUCUGUGUUUAUGUCAGACCCUACCUCACUUCAGCAUUAAUUUAUUAAAAGCCAUGGAGCUUUGUGUUUUUGCACCUUUUUUUGCACUUCUCCCUCCUUUAGGAGCAUUUCCACCCCACAUCCAACACAUUUCCUCUCACAGAGGGAGAAUGCACCUUUUAUGUACAUUAUGUAGAUAAUGUAGAUAAUAUAGACAGGACGUGGUAGACGCUGGGUGCAGGAGUCUGGUGAUGGGAUAAACCUACCAGGGUUAAGCUGUUGUUGUUUUGUUGGAUUCAUUCACAGGUUUAACAUUUCCUUAACGGUCUCUGCACAUCUCUUCUAAUCAUUAGAACGUAGAGAUUAAUGUGAAACUACUACAAGGUUUUUCUUUCCUAUUUGUGAAUAACCUUCUGUUCAGUCUGAAUCUUUGUGAUUCUAUUUCUGUCUAUAAGCUAUAUUUUUGUACAUGUUUCUCAUAUAAAUAAAAAUGUUUUGAAUGUU